rnacentral:rRNA from 1 species
AGUGGCGUACGGGUGAGUAACACGUGGGUAAUCUACCUCUUAGUGAGGAAUAACCCUGGGAAACCGGGGCUAAUACCGCAUAAGCCUGAGAAGGGAAAGCAGCAAUGCGCUGAGAGAGGAGCCCGCGGCCGAUUAGCUAGUUGGUGAGGUAAGAGCCCACCAAGGCAGAGAUCGGUAGUCGGCCUGAGAGGGCACACGGCCACACUGGCACUGAAACACGGGCCAGACUCCUACGGGAGGCAGCAGUGGGGAAUCUUGCACAAUGGGGGAAACCCUGAUGCAGCGACGCCGCGUGAGCGAUGAAGCCCUUCGGGGUGUAAAGCUCUUUCGUCAAGGAAGAUGGUGACGGUACCUGGAGAAGCAGCUGCGGCUAACUACGUGCCAGCAGCCGCGGUAAUACGUAGGCAGCAAGCGUUGUUCGGAGUUACUGGGCGUAAAGGGUGUGUAGGCGGUUCUUUAAGUUUGGUGUGAAAUCUCCCGGCUCAACUGGGAGGGAGCGCCGAA